AGGAGGGAAGCGGCCGGUGGGGAGAGGCUGAGGAAUGAGCUGCAGAAGUGAGCAGAGGGAGAGGUCUGCCUGGACCGGAAGGCUUAUCCCUGUCGCAUACGAGAAAAUAGGCUCAGGGAGGUGCAGUAAAAUGCCUAAUGUUACAGAAGAAGCAGUAGGUGACAGAACUGGCCCUCGCCUGGUUUUGCCCAGGGGUUCCUGGACAGACUUCCGGCCAGCAGCUGCAGAGGAAAGCUGGACAUAGAGCUGCAGCAUGGAGGUGACUAUGAUUCCUGACUCAGAAGUGUGUUUCCACACCAGCUUUCCACAGUCUUUUGGUAUAACACACUCUUUCUAUGUCAGAUGCAAUUUUAACUGUGAUUGCGCUUGAACUCUCUCCUAAGACAGGCGGCAGCUUUCCACCGCCUGCUACCCAGGGCGUGGCUCUCCCCAUCCCCUCUCCGUGGGUUCCUCCUGAGCCACUGGCCGGGGUCUCGCUCGCUGCCUUGCUGAGGGGGCUUCCGAGGCCAUGAGCUGAGAGUGAAGCCCCUUCAGACCACGGGGCAUGUGUGUGGAGACUGGAAACUCGUCAAGGAUUCCCUCUGCACUCAAAGAAGUGAGGUAUGGAAAUUAAAGCCUGGGGUACAGUGCUGGCGCCCUUGGCAACGCCAGAGGAGGGAGAAACCCACAGGAUUUUCAGCUGCUUUGUGCCUGUGAGUGCCCAGGUGACAGCGGUUUCUCUCACACGUCCACAGACUCAGGUUUGACAAUGGCACCCGAGCUGAGAUCAGAGCUCCUGAGUCACCAAUGGCAGGUGGCUAGCUGCAAGGAGAGCAGUGGCCCGUCCCCCUGGUUCAGUGACGGUAGGACCUGGUGAUGGCUCUGGACUGUGCAGUCUAACCGUGGCUCCUGCUGGCGACCUUGGGACCUGAGGGGCGACACGCCUUGAGUUACUAAGUUUCCCCUGGGCCUCAUCGGCGCCAGAAUCAGUGCUGCAGCAGCUGGUAACUUGGCAACACUGAGGACAGAAGCCCAAGCAAAGCUGCUCCCUUCAGCCAAAGGACCGAGACAGGAGCCGCCUCACAAAUGAAAAGAUGGAAGAACAUGUGCAACGCAGACAUUAAUGUUUAAAAAGCAAGAUUAGCCAGAUCAGCACUAGAUAAUGUAGAUUUCAAAGAAGAGAAAAUGGCAAGGACAGGGAGAUUUUUAAAAAAUUAUGGUAAAAGGGUUAAAAGAGCUCAUACACCAGGCAACAGGGCUGCAAAAUACAUAAAGCAGAGAUAGAUACAUCCGGAAGGAGAAGUAGACAAUUCCGUGAUUACAGUUAGAGACUCAACAUCCCUCUCUCAACACCUGAAAGAACAACUGGGCAGAAAAUGAGUCAGGAAACAGAAGAAACGAAUAACACCGUCAGCCAAUAGGUCAUAUUUGACUUUUAUGAAACAUUCCAUCCAACAACAGCAGAACACAAUUUUUAAUUUAAAAAAUGUUAUUUAUUACAUUGUUUGGGGUGACAUUGGUCAACAUGAACAUAUGGGUUUCAGGUGUGGGUUUCUUUGUUACAAGAUCUGCAUAUUGCACCAUGUGCCCACCACCCAAAGUCAAGUCUUCUCCUGUCACCUCAUAUUAGGACCUCCUUCUCCUCCCACCCUCUUCCCUCUGGAAGCCACCACUCUGCUGCUUGUGUUAGUAAGUUUCAGUUUUAUAUCCCACAUAUGAGUGAAAUCAUAUGGUUCUUAGCUUUUUCUGACUGAUUUAUUUCACUUAGCAUAAUGUUCUUGAGGUCCAUCCAUGUGGUUGUAAAUGAUGCUAUUUCAUCCUUUCUUAUGGCUGAGUAGUAUUCCAUCAUGUAUAUGUACCACAUCUUUACCCAGUCCUCUAUUGCAGGGCACUUUGGCUGUUUCCAAGUCUUGGCCACUGUGAAAAAGGCUGUAGUGAACAGAGGUGUAUAUAUCUUUGCCACUACAUGAUUUCGAAUUUUUCGGGCAUAUACUCAGGAGUGGGAUUGGUGGGUCAUAUGGUAGCUCUAUUCUUAAUUUUUUGAGGAAUCGCCAGACUGCUUUCCAUAGUGGUUGUACCAUCUACAUUCCCACCAGCAGUGAACGAGGGUUCCCUUUCCCCACAGCCUCUCCAACACUUGUUAUUGCUUGUCUUGUUGAUAAUGGCCACUCUAACAGGUGUGAGGGGCUAUCUCAUUGUAGUUUUGAUUUGCAUUUCCCUGAUUGCCAAUGAGGUUGAACAUCUUUCCAUAUAUCUAUUGGCUGUAUGUCUUCUUGGGAGAGGUGUGUUUUCAGGUUCUCUGCCCACCUUUUGAUUGGAUUGUUUGUUUGUUUGGUGUUGAGUUUUAUGAGUUCUUUAUAUAUUUAGGAAAUUAAACCUUUGUUGGAGCUACUGUUUGCAAACAUCAUCUCCCAUCUGCUUGGCUGUCUGUUUGUUGUCCGUUUAUUUUGCUGUGUAGAAGCUCUUCAGUAUGAUAUAGUCCCAUUCAUUUGUUUUUGCCUUUACCUCCCUUGCCUUUGGGGUCAAGUCCAUAAAAUGUUCUCUAUGACCCAGGUCCAUAUGUUUGAUACCUAUGUUUUCUUCUAUGUAACUUAUUGUUUGGGUCUUAUGUUUAGGUCUUUGAUCCAUUUUGAAUUAGUUCUUGAACAUGGGACAAACUGCAAUCCAGUUUCAUUUAUUUGCAUGUGGCUUUCCAGUAUUCCCAGCACCAUUUUAUUUAUCUAUCUAUCUAUCUAUCUAUCUAUCUAUCUAUCUAUCUAUCUUUUAUUGUUUAAAGUCUUACAUAUGUCUCAUUUUCCCCCGAUUAACCCGCCCCCCGGGCACUCCCACUCUUCAGGACAAGCCCCCACAGUCACAGUGUCCAUGCCCGUUGGUUAUGCUAAUAUGCAUGCAUACAAGUCCUUUGGUUGAUCUCUUACCCCGCCCCCUCCCCUGCCCUCUCUCUGAGGUUGGACAGUCUGUUCAGUGUUUCUUUGUCUCUGGAUCUAUUUUUGUUCAUCAGUAUGUGUUGCUCAUUAUAUCCCACAUAUGAGUGAGAUCAUGUGAUAUUUAUCUUUCCCCGACUGGCUUAUUUUGCUUAGCAUAAUGCUCUCCAGGUCCAUCCAUGCUGUUGCAAAUGGUAAAAUUUCCUUCUUUUUUAUAGCAGAGUAGUAUUA